rnacentral:rRNA from 1 species
CGCUCACCUUCGGGUGGGAGUGGCAGACGGGUGAGUAACACGUGGGAACGUACCCUUUGGUUCGGGACAACUCUGGGAAACUGGAGCUAAUACCGGAUACGCCCUUUUGGGGAAAGGUUUACUGCCGAAGGAUCGGCCCGCGUCUGAUUAGCUAGUUGGUGGGGUAACGGCCUACCAAGGCGACGAUCAGUAGCUGGUCUGAGAGGAUGAUCAGCCACACUGGGACUGAGACACGGCCCAGACUCCUACGGGAGGCAGCAGUGGGGAAUAUUGGACAAUGGGCGCAAGCCUGAUCCAGCCAUGCCGCGUGAGUGAUGAAGGCCUUAGGGUUGUAAAGCUCUUUUAUCCGGGACGAUAAUGACGGUACCGGAGGAAUAAGCCCCGGCUAACUUCGUGCCAGCAGCCGCGGUAAUACGAAGGGGGCUAGCGUUGCUCGGAAUCACUGGGCGUAAAGGGCGCGUAGGCGGCGUUUUAAGUCGGGGGUGAAAGCCUGUGGCUCAACCACAGAAUGGCCUUCGAUACUGGGACGCUUGAGUCUGGUAGAGGUUGGUGGAACUGCGAGUGUAGAGGUGAAAUUCGUAGAUAUUCGCAAGAACACCGGUGGCGAAGGCGGCCAACUGGACCGGCACUGACGCUGAGGC